GAUGAACGCUGGCGGCGUGCCUAAUACAUGCAAGUCGAGCGAACAGAUGAGGAGCUUGCUCCUCUGACGUUAGCGGCGGACGGGUGAGUAACACGUGGAUAACCUACCUAUAGGACUGGGAUAACUUCGGGAAACCGGAGCUAAUCCCGGAUAAUAUAUUGAACCGCAUGUUUCAAUAGUGAAAGACGGUUUUGCUGUCACUUAUAGAUGGAUCCGCGCCGCAUUAGCUAGUUGGUAAGGUAACGGCUUACCAAGGCAACGAUGCGUAGCCGACCUGAGAGGGUGAUCGGCCACACUGGAACUGAGACACGGUCCAGACUCCUACGGGAGGCAGCAGUAGGGAAUUUUCCGCAAUGGGCGAAAGCCUGACGGAGCAACGCCGCGUGAGUGAUGAAGGUCUUCGGAUCGUAAAACUCUGUUAUUAGGGAAGAACAAAUGUGUAAGUAACUAUGCACGUCUUGACGGUACCUAAUCAGAAAGCCACGGCUAACUACGUG
rnacentral:rRNA from 1 species